GUUUUAAUAGUUUAGGAAAAAUAUUAUAUUGUGGAUAUAAAGAGACAUUAGUUUAAGGCA
rnacentral:tRNA from 1 species